rnacentral:rRNA from 1 species
AUUGAACGCUGGCGGCAGGCUUAACACAUGCAAGUCGAGCGAGCGGCGGCCGGGUGAGUAAUGUCUGGGAAACUGCCUGAUGGAGGGGGAUAACUACUGGAAACGGUAGCUAAUACCGCAUACCAUCAGAUGUGCCCAGUUGGGAUUAGCUAGUAGGUGGGGUAAUGGCUCACCUAGGCGACGAUCCCUAGCUGGUCUGAGAGGAUGACCAGCCACACUGGAACUGGGACACGGUCCAGACUCCUACGUGAUGUAGCAUGGGGGAAUAUUGCACAAUGGGCGCAAGCCUGAUGCAGCCAUGCCGCGUGUGUGAAGAAGGCCUUCGGGUUGUAAAGCACUUUCAGCGAGGAGGCGUUACUCGCAGAAGAAGCACCGGCUAACUCCGUGCCAGCCGCCGCGGUAAUAC